UACAGAGGGUGCGAGCGUUAAUCGGAAUUACUGGGCGUAAAGCGCGCGUAGGCGGCUUUGCAAGUCGGGUGUGAAAUCCCCAGGCUUAACCUGGGAACUGCAUUCGAGACUGCAUUGCUAGAGUAUGGGAGAGGGAAGUGGAAUUUCCGGUGUAGCGGUGAAAUGCGUAGAUAUCGGAAGGAACAUCAGUGGCGAAAGCGACUUCCUGGACCAAUACUGACGCUCAUGUGCGAAAGCGUGGGGAGCAAACAGGG
rnacentral:rRNA from 1 species